rnacentral:rRNA from 1 species
GACGAACGCUGGCGGCGUGCCUAAUACAUGCAAGUAGAACGCUGAAGGAGGAGCUUGCUUCUCUGGAUGAGUUGCGAACGGGUGAGUAACGCGUAGGUAACCUGCCUGGUAGCGGGGGAUAACUAUUGGAAACGAUAGCUAAUACCGCAUAACAGUAGAUGUUGCAUGACAUUUGCUUAAAAGGUGCAAUUGCAUCACUACCAGAUGGACCUGCGUUGUAUUAGCUAGUUGGUGGGGUAACGGCUCACCAAGGCGACGAUACAUAGCCGACCUGAGAGGGUGAUCGGCCACACUGGGACUGAGACACGACCCAGACUCCUACGGGAGGCAGCAGUAGGGAAUCUUCGGCAAUGGACGGAAGUCUGACCGAGCAACGCCGCGUGAGUGAAGAAGGUUUUCGGAUCGUAAAGCUCUGUUGUAAGAGAAGAACGAGUGUGAGAGUGGAAAGUUCACACUGUGACGGUAUCUACCA